AUCGCAAAUUUAGCUGGUUAUUGCAUCAUUUACAUUUACCAAGCCUGGAUAUUUAUUUAAAGGGAAUCGGUAAUCUGUAGCAAAGUCAUUAAAGUGUUAAUUCAGCAACCGUUUGAGUACACUAGUCGCUAACAAACUAAACAGGAAGUUACGCCGUCCACUCUUAUCGACAAUCAUUAGUAAAGUCCCAUAUCAUACAACAUGUCCUGUUGGGUACCACAAAUUUCUGAGGGGAUGAACAUCUACCACAUCCAUCCGCCACCGUAUGGCAGCGGUAACCGGCGAAAGUCAUCCGUGUCGGACGACGAGCAUGGCCCUAGUAUCAUGCCCAGGCUUUUCCGCAAAAGUAUGGAUGCCGGAAACGUUGACAAUGAGAAAAGAAAGCGCUGGCCAUACCGCAUGUGGCAUCGUCGUGCGUCUUCAAUGUCGGAAGAUAAACAUGAUGGACAUGGAACUGCUGAACAGACCACAGAUUCUGAGAACAACGGGCCACAAGUAAAAUCCCAAAGGGACGUUGCCGAUUCUUCGCCGGCUUCCCAGCCUAGUGCCGGAAAAGAACAGCGCUCUCGAGCUCAUUCCGACCGUUAAAGUCGUAGUAUGGCACUUUUAAAAAAUUGUACAGAGUACACAAUUUAACUGUACGACAAUUUACCAAAGAAAUCUGAAAUUUUCUUUGACGAUGGACUAUUGCAGUCAUUUUUUUCCGGCAAUAUCGAUGGUUACUGUCCAAGGAUACACACCACCUGGUCAUCGAGAGUGCUGUACGCUGUAUGGGGCAAGUUAGAGUUUAAAAGUAUACUGGAGCAAGUGUAAAUUAUUUUCUACCAAUAUUCUGGAUUAUGGAUAUCGUCUUGUUGCAUCGGGAUUGCACUGUCUUUUACAGACAAAUGUCAAUAAUUAUUUAUUUUUCGCGCGGGAACAAUAAUUAUGUUGUUGCCCGGCUGGAGCUGCUUUUGCUUGUAUCAAUUAUGCAAAGAGUGUGUUGACCUGAAUAAAACGGAAAACUGUUG